CCUACGGGUGGCAGCAGUGGGGAAUAUUGCACAAUGGGGGAAACCCUGAUGCAGCAACGCCGCGUGAGUGAAGAAGUAUUUCGGUAUGUAAAGCUCUAUCAGCAGGGAAGAAGACAGACGGUACCUGACUAAGAAGCCCCGGCUAACUACGUGCCAGCAGCCGCGGUAAUACGUAGGGGGCAAGCGUUAUCCGGAUUUCCUGGGUGUAAAGGGUGCGUAGGUGGUUUGGCAAGUUAGUAGCGUAACUCCAAGGCUCAACCUUGGAACUACUACUAAAACUGUUGGACUUGAGUGCAGGAGGGGCAACCGGAAUGUCGAGUGUAGCGGUGGAAUGCGUAGAGAUUAGGAGGAACACCAGUGGCGAAGGCGGGUUGCUAGACUGUAACUGACACUGAGGCACGAAAGCGUGGGGAGCAAACAGGAUUAGAUACCCGGGUAGUC
rnacentral:rRNA from 1 species